GAUGAACGCUGGCGGCGUGCCUAAUACAUGCAAGUCGAGCGAACAGACGAGGAGCUUGCUCCUCUGACGUUAGCGGCGGACGGGUGAGUAACACGUGGAUAACCUACCUAUAAGAUUGGGAUAACUUCGGGAAACCGGAGCUAAUACCGGAUAAUAUAUUGAACCGCAUGGUUCAAUAGUGAAAGACGGUUUUGCUGUCACUUAUAGAUGGAUCCGCGCCGCAUUAGCUAGUUGGUAAGGUAACGGCUUACCAAGGCGACGAUGCGUAGCCGACCUGAGAGGGUGAUCGGCCACACUGGAACUGAGACACGGUCCAGACUCCUACGGGAGGCAGCAGUAGGGAAUCUUCCGCAAUGGGCGAAAGCCUGACGGAGCAACGCCGCGUGAGUGAUAAAGGUCUUCGGAUCGUAAAACUCUGUUAUUAGGGAAGAACAAAUGUGUAAGUAACUAUGCACGUCUUGACGGUACCUAAUCAGAAAGCCACGGCUAACUACGUG
rnacentral:rRNA from 1 species